GCUCACUGCAACCUUCUCCUGAGUUCAAGCAAUCCUCGUGCUUCAGCCUCCCAAGUAGCUGGGAUUACAGGCAUGUGCCACUCAUUUUCAUUUUAAAAGGCUACACUUAGCAUUAAAAAUUAAAUGGAGGCUGGAAGAGGGGUUACAGUCUUCUCCCGCCAGUCUCUCUUUCAUCAAAUGAAAAGAUACAAGACUCAUCAGACCCAAAUGGGGGUUAAAAGAUCAGCCUCUUUAUUGCUGAAGGAUAUACCUAAUCAUUCUCUAAAAGUAGAACUUCUAGAAAAUUUUUAGAGAGUAGGACUUAAACCUUGAGCUCAAUGGAACUUCCUUCUCCUCCUACUCAAAUCUUGGUCUCAGGACUCACCUAUUUGGACAGCUGAGUUGAGAGUCUGACAUAAAUUCACCUGCCUAGCCACCAGCAAGGUACCUACAAGGAAGCACAGGGCUGCCCCAUAUCCUCUCCAGGAUAUCCUUUCCGGGCCCUCCAUACUGGGGGACCUUGCCUAGAGAAGUUUAUCUCAUAGAAUUUCCUAUGAGGAGGAGAUUAAAGACUAUGAUCCUGCAAUUCCCCCGAGAGAACACAGAGCCAAGAAACUAAGAAACGAUGUCAUGUGUGAACUGCAUAUGGCAUUUAACACUGUCCCCCAUCCACUAUUAAAUGUGGUUCCAUGAAAGUCAGGUCCUCAACAGUCAGGUUAGCUAGUCCUCCCACUUUGGGGAGGGGCAAAUAAGCAAGUGGAGAGAGAAGAUGGAAGUAUUGUAUUCUUUCUUUACCAGUCAAAGUGCAAACAUGAGAAGGAGAGUAUAACUGUUCCUCCUCUCAGUUGGAAUUUCCUUACUGGGGGAAUUCAGGAAACAGGAACAUAACCAGUAAAAGAAACUUUGGCAAGACCUUCCUCAGAAUGUUUCAAGACUGGGAGAGAACAACAUCCCAAGUGGGGCAGAAUUUUAAUUUUUCUCUCUUGAAAUGUUUCCAACCUUGGAACUGCAUUCAUGGAUGGGAAGAGCUGAUGGAAGCCAAGUGGGAGAGAAAGUACAAAGGAAGAUUUCCAGAGAUAAAGAGAACAACUCCUCAGUGAGCCGGCUUGGAGAGAACAAGUGGAGGGAGGCACGUCUUCAGCCUGUCGUUAGCAGAUGUUUACUAACUCACUGUGGUACUGGAGCCAGCUGGGGCUAACUGAGGAACAUUUUCCAUCCCAGAUCCUUUGUGGUGAAAAAGAAUAAAGUAGAAAAUGAAUGGCACCAGAUUGUGUCCAUGAUUUAUCAUUUUAAUCUUGUCACCAAGAAUUGAAGAGACCCAGGCUAGGGCAAAGGAAAAGGCAAAAAUAUAUAUAUUUGACAUGAAUCAGUUAUUUGAGGUCAAUCUGGGAAGUUUUUUUAGCACAUAAAAAACGUCUAAAAGAAAGAAUAGU
rnacentral:lncRNA from 1 species